CGGGCGUUUCACUCGGGCUCGGAUUUGACUUGGUAAAUGGAUUUACUCCAUGUCGUUGUGCAUAUAGUUAUAUAGUUGAAAAAUCUCCACAAUUUUUGUCUAAGGAUAAAGUAUUAACACGAAAAUUUAGCAUGGGCUGCAGUGUUUGUCUUGGUUGCUGGUGCGGAUUUUUUAAGAACGUAUACAACGAAUUGUGAUAUUUUUAUAACCGUCUUUCAAUAGACCCAUUGCAC